rnacentral:rRNA from 1 species
CCUACGGGUGGCAGCAGUGAGGAAUAUUGGUCAAUGGACGAGAGUCUGAACCAGCCAAGUAGCGUGAAGGAUGAGUGCCCUAUGGGUUGUAAACUUCUUUUAUAUGGGAAUAAAAUGUUCCACGUGUGGGAUUUUGUAUGUACCAUAUGAAUAAGGAUCGGCUAACUCCGUGCCAGCAGCCGCGGUAAUACGGAGGAUCCGAGCGUUAUCCGGAUUUAUUGGGUUUAAAGGGAGCGUAGGUGGAUUGUUAAGUCAGUUGUGAAAGUUUGCGGCUCAACCGUAAAAUUGCAGUUGAAACUGGCAGUCUUGAGUACAGUAGAGGUGGGCGGAAUUCGUGGUGUAGCGGUGAAAUGCUUAGAUAUCACGAAGAACUCCGAUUGCGAAGGCAGUUCACUGGACUGCAACUGACACUGAGGCUCGAAAGUGUGGGUAUCAAACAGGAUUAGAUACCCUAGUAGUC